CGGGUUCGAUCCUGACUAUAGGUGCUGUCUAUACUGAGUUUGUAUGCUCUCCCGCAUGUAUUUUCCCUGGAUGUUCCAAUUACUUCCCACACUCUAAAGACGUACAGGUUUGUAGGUUAAUUGGCUUUGGUAAUAGUGUAAAUUGUCCCU